rnacentral:rRNA from 1 species
UACGUAGGUGACAAGCGUUGUCCGGAUUUACUGGGCGUAAAGAGCGCGCAGGCGGUCGUUCAAGUCGGGUGUGAAAGCCCCCGGCUCAACUGGGGAGGGUCAUUCGAUACUGAUCGACUCGAAGGCAGGAGAGGGUAGUGGAAUUCUCGGUGUAGCGGUGAAAUGCGUAGAUAUCGAGAGGAACACCUGCGGCGAAGGCGGGUUGCUGGGCUGACACUGACGCUGAACUGCGAAAGCUAGGGGAGCGAACGGG